UGAGGUAUAGCUCAGUGGUAGAGUGUUUGCCUAGCAUGUAUGAGGUCCUGGGUUCAAUCCCCAGUACCUCCA
rnacentral:tRNA from 1 species